rnacentral:rRNA from 1 species
GUGCCAGCAGCCGCGGUGAUACGGAGGGUGCAAGCGUUAAUCGGAAUUACUGGGCGUAAAGCGCACGCAGGCGGUCUGUCAAGUCGGAUGUGAAAUCCCCGGGCUCAACCUGGGAACUGCAUUCGAAACUGGCAGGCUAGAGUCUUGUAGAGGGGGGUAGAAUUCCAGGUGUAGCGGUGAAAUGCGUAGAGAUCUGGAGGAAUACCGGUGGCGAAGGCGGCCCCCUGGACAAAGACUGACGCUCAGGUGCGAAAGCGUGGGGAGCAAACAGGAUUAGAUACCCUGGUAGUCCACGCCGUAAACGAUGUCGAUUUGGAGGUUGUGCCCUUGAGGCGUGGCUUCCGGAGCUAACGCGUUAAAUCGACCGCCUGGGGAGUACGGCCGCAAGGUUAAAACUCAAAUGAAUUGACGGGGGCCCGCACAAGCGGUGGAGCAUGUGGUUUAAUUCGAUGCAACGCGAAGAACCUUACCUGGUCUUGACAUCCACAGAACUUAGCAGAGAUGCUUUGGUGCCUUCGGGAACUGUGAGACAGGUGCUGCAUGGCUGUCGUCAGCUCGUGUUGUGAAAUGUUGGGUUAAGUCCCGCAACGAGCGCAACCCUUAUCCUUUGUUGCCAGCGGUUAGGCCGGGAACUCAAAGGAGACUGCCAGUGAUAAACUGGAGGAAGGUGGGGAUGACGUCAAGUCAUCAUGGCCCUUACGACCAGGGCUACACACGUGCUACAAUGGCAUAUACAAAGAGAAGCGACCUCGCGAGAGCAAGCGGACCUCAUAAAGUAUGUCGUAGUCCGGAUUGGAGUCUGCAACUCGACUCCAUGAAGUCGGAAUCGCUAGUAAUCGUAGAUCAGAAUGCUACGGUGAAUACGUUCCCGGGCCUUGUACACACCGCCCGUCACACCAUGGGAGUGGGUUGCAAAAGAAGUAGGUAGCUUAACCUUCGGGAGGGCGCUUACCACUUUGUGAUUCAUGACUGGGGUGAAGUCGUAACAAGGUAACCCG